rnacentral:rRNA from 1 species
ACGUAGGAGGCGAGCGUUAUCCGGAUUUACUGGGCGUAAAGCGUGCGUAGGCGGUUUGAUAAGUUGGUUGUGAAAGCUCCUGGCUUAACUGGGAGAGGGCGUUCAAAACUAUCAGACUUGAGAGUGGUCGAGGGAGGUGGAAUUCCGCAUGUAGUGGUGAAAUGCUUAGAUAUGCGGAGGAACACCAGUGGCGAAAGCGGCCUCCUGGAUCAUUUCUGACGCUCAGACACGAAAGCUAGGGUAUCAAACGG